rnacentral:lncRNA from 10 species
AUUGUGAAUAACCCAGAACUUGAGACAUCCACUUGACCACAGAACUGAGAAAAGCUGUGGCUGAACAAUAAGCGGAACAGUUUUCUUUGACUGUACCACCCCUCCCCCAAGCUGGGACAGUGGCACACACAGAGAAUUUCCCUAGACCCAUGGUUUCUACAGGGGGAAAAGUGAAUUGGAGGAGGAUAUUCCAUUUCCUCGCCAUUUUGGGUCCCUUUGUGGGAGGGAGAUAUGUGAAGGACAUGAAAAAGUUCUUGUGUG